CAAGUGACGCAGACGUUCCUACGAAACAAUAUUACAAGCAAAGUGCAAGUUUUAUUUUAAUGGUGAAAAUUACAUAAAUUACAUAUAAAAUACUGCGGAAACUCUACCGUCGACGACUGAAAACCUCUGGCGUUGGUUUGAAUUUCGCAUCGUUGCCUCGUAUAGUGAGGAAUCUCAGCAGUGGAUAUACAUACAUAAAUAUUUGUGCGAGACUCAGCAUAGGAAAGUGCCAAGAUAAAAACCUUGUGGCCCUCCGCGACUCGUCUCUUUCACAUAUGAAUACAUCGGAAAUAUUAUCGGCAGUGUCCCAGACAGAUAGUGGCACCAGUUGCAGUUAUUCGGACAUAGUCCACGUGUAGAUGUAUACACAUAACCUGCACUUAUUACAUAUAUGUACAUAAGUACAUAAAUUCAAUGCCAACCCUAAGCAACGUGUGGGAGCUGGACAACCGAGUGCAAGCGAGACACCACGAUCGGUUUUCUCAUACACAGUGCAAAUGACUUGAGCACUACUUUUUUCUUUUCUUUUGAUUAUAAUUCUUACCUAAAUUUUCAUAUACUUUCUUACGUUUCAUAUACUACUUUUCUUUGUUCGUAUUUUUGCUAACAUCCAAGUGAUGUAGUCUUUAAAUCAAUUUCGUUUUUCCAAUUUUAAUAUUUCAUAUAUACAUAAUUAACUAUUGUUAUUAGAGUUUAAGCAUAAUUUGAUUUAUUUUGUUCCAUGAAAGCUUAACGUAAUUCCUAGUGCUCUUGCUCACAAUUUAAUAUGCCUCGGAAAUAGUAUAAGCUACUCCCUUUUUGUUUUAUAUACGAGUAUAUAGUAGUAACUACAGCACUCAGCAA